CCCCUGAUGGUUCAGUGGUUAAGACUCCAUGCUUCCAAUGCAGGGAGCCCAGGUUUGAUCCCUGGUUGGGGCA
rnacentral:tRNA from 1 species